UUUGUUAAGUAGAUAGAUUAAAGUUGGCUAAUGAUCUUGAUCAUUAGUUUGGUCUCUGUCUGCCAAUUAGCUCUAGUUGGGAAUAAAAAGUUUCUUCUUACCCAACUCGUCUUUUUAUGGACAGACAUUUAUGGGAAGGAACCUUGAUAACAUAGGUCUGGUUUGGUCAUGUACAUGUGGUUCGACAUUUAUAGAAAUGAAUGUCAGGCUUUGCACGUUUAACUGAUAUUUCAACCUAUUGUUUUUCUAGGGACUUAUGGUUAGAUAUUCAGGAAGAACUCUUAUUGGUGCCUAACUUUUUACUUCUAAUUUCAGCUUAAAACAAAAAGUUUAAAUUUCAAUAAGUUUUUUGGUUGCUAUCCUGUUUUUUUUUCGAUCAAUUUGUUAGGAGAACGGUGAGGUGAUGCUAGCUUUAUUAGUUUCGUUUGUGGAUUUGAUAUCUUUGACUCAGUAAUUAUAUGUUUUGUAAUUUCUUCUUGCUUUUUUUUGGAAACAAUAGCUGUCGUUUAUCUAGACUUGAAAAGAGUUCUUCUAGCAUUCCAAUAAUCUCAGUGAGCAAUCCGGAGAAAGGAGCCUUGUGGCUAUGUUCUUAUGAUGAGGGAGUUUCUCUACUACCUUAUGUG
rnacentral:lncRNA from 1 species